GACUCAGGCGCUGCAGUGGCGACUGUCGGAACCCACAAGCGCAGUAGAGAGCAGCUUUGCUGUUCCGCGACGCAGGUCUAGAACUCAUUGUCGACCGUUAACACUGCACCUCCUCGAAAUAAUCAGUUUAUUUAUCACACAACUCAGUAUUUCCUGUCUAAUUAUUUUAAACAAAUUCUUAAGUGGUCACUACACAGUUUAAAAUAAUAAAUAAAGUGUCAGAGUACGUAAGCUUUCGAAUAAAUUAAAUUCAGUGCCGGCUUUUGACUUCGCGUCGCGUUCUACAAUAGGUUCGUUGUCGUCAGUUAAAUACACGAAUAAAACGUGUGUUUAGGUUAUUAAUUUGUGAGAGUGCUUGUGACAGGCCGGCCAGCAGUAAAAAUGGCGGCAAAAGCUCCAAAUUCAAAACAAAAAAAAAUCCAAAAAUAUAUUGAUAUCAAAACAAUGGAAUCCGAUGAAGCAACAGCUAGACAUCAUGGAACGAACAUAGCCGCCAAGAGGGAAAUUCAAAUUUUAAAAAACUGCCAUCAGCGCUGAAGCUUACAGAAGUCGCCACUAAAAUAUCCAUUGUGUUCAACAUCCACUGGUCAAGACGGUCAAAACCACCUUGUACAUAAAUUUUUCCGAUUUUUUAUUGAUGACGAUAAGUUGUUCAGAAAAUUUUGAUAAUGUUGCCAUCAAGAAAGUCAAGAAUAACUAGAUUUGCUUCCAGACAGAGUGGAUUCAGCAGCGGGAAAUUUAUAAUAACGUCCGCCAAGAAACCGAAAGAAUUGUCUGCUGGUCUGGAUGUUUCUCGGCGUGGUAAGUGAACUCAAUUUUUCAAAUUUAUAAUUUUUCACAGUUAAAUAUUUUUAUCAAUUUAACAAAAUUGUUAAACUAUUUAAAGCCGAGCUUCAAUGCUUGACUUAUAUUAACCCCUUUUAUUAUUAUCACUCUCUAAGUACAAAAGAAAACAUUUUUACACGGAGAAAAAUGCAGGUCAAAAUUAAAUAAUAAUUACAACCACAAUGAAAAAUUUGCUAUCUUAAAUAAAAAAUUACAAUCCAUAAAAAAAAUUACGAUGAUUUGCAGAGAAGUAAUUUUUUAUUUCAAUUAUUACUAUCUAGAUUGUAAUUUUCACUUAUGAUAAUAAUUACAAUAAAGCUUCGUUAAAUUAUCGCUUGAAAAAAAUCAAUAUUUACUUAUUCAUAUAAAAAUACUUCAAUCUUACAAAAAGUAGUAAUUGUUGUUGGAAUUAUUAAAAGUUGGUACAUUAGUCGCAAUUUUUGUUUCGUAGUUGAUAAAUAUUACAUUUCCAAUGUAAUUUUACGUAGGUAAAGUACAUUUUAGAAUGUCGGUAAGACAAAUUGCUACUCCGGAAGAUAGAAUUACUAUUUGAGAUUGGAAAUACUACUAUCUGAAUUGUAAAAAUUACUUGCCAGAAUACAUCUUUCACAAAGCGCACUAAC